rnacentral:rRNA from 1 species
AUACGUAGGGAGCGAGCGUUGUCCGGAAUUACUGGGUGUAAAGGGUGCGUAGGCGGGUAGACAAGUCAGGUGUGAAAACCAUCGGCUCAACCGGGGAACUGCACUUGAAACUGUAAAUCUUGAGUGAAGUAGAGGCAAGCGGAAUUCCGAGUGUAGAGGUGAAAUGCGUAGAUAUUCGGAGGAACACCAGUGGCGAAGGCGGCUUGCUGGGCUUUAACUGACGCUGAGGCACGAAAGCGUGGGGAGCAAACAGGAUUAGAUACCCUGGUAGUCCACGCUGUAAACGAUGAAUGCUAGGUGUGGGGGGACUGACCCCUUCCGUGCCGGAGUAAACACAAUAAGCAUUCCACCUGGGGAGUACGACCGCAAGGUUGAAACUCAAAUGAAUUGACGGGG